rnacentral:rRNA from 1 species
AUUGAACGCUGGCGGCAGGCCUAACACAUGCAAGUCGCACGAGUGGCGGACGGGUGAGUAAUGUCUGGGAAACUGCCUGAUGGAGGGGGAUAACUACUGGAAACGGUAGCUAAUACCGCAUACCAUCGGAUGUGCCCAGAUGGGAUUAGCUAGUAGGUGGGGUAAAGGCUCACCUAGGCGACGAUCCCUAGCUGGUCUGAGAGGAUGACCGACCACACUGAAACUGAGACACGGUCCAGACUCAUACGGGGGGAAGCAGUGGGGAAUAUGGCAAAAUGGGGGAAAGCCUGAUGGAGCCAUACGGCGUGUAUGAAGAAGGGCAUCGGGUUGUAAAGUACUUUAAGCGGGGCGGCGUUACCCGCAGAAAAAGCACCGGCUAACUCCGUGCCAGCAGCCGCGGUAAUAC